rnacentral:rRNA from 1 species
UUACUUUAUUAAAUUAUAAAUUUAAUUUAKRCWAAAUAUAAWAAUAUAUUUAUAAAAAAAAAAGACSACWAGACCCUAUUAAAUUURACUUAUGUUAAGCUGGGGAAGCUUAUUAAAUAAAAUUUUAAUUUUAAAUAAAAAAAAAUCUAAUAAAAUUAAAUUAAACAAAUUACUAUAGGGAUAACAGCGUUAUUUUAUUUAAAAGUUCAUAUUUAAAAUAAAGAUUGCGACCUCGAUGUUGAAUUAUAUUUCUAUGAUAAUGCAACAAUUACAUUAGUAGGUCUGUUCGACCUUUAAAAUAUUACAUGAUUUGAGUUCAAMCCGGUGUAAACCAGGUUGGUUUCUAUCUUUUGAUAUUAUUUUUCUAGUACGAAAGGACAAAAAAAUAUUUAUUAUAAAUUUAUUUAGCAAAAUAUAUGCAUUAGAUUUAGAAUCUAAAAAAAAGUUAUAC